GUUUAGUGGCGAACGGGUGAGUAACGCGUGAGUAACCUGCCCAAAAGUGGGGAAUAAUGUUUGGAAACGGACACUAAUACCGCAUAACAUAUAAUUAUCGCAUGAUAAAUAUAUCAAAGGAUUAAUUCGCUUAUGGAUGGACUCGCGUCCGAUUAGAUAGUUGGUGAGGUAACGGCCCACCAAGUCGACGAUCGGUAGCCGGACUGAGAGGUCGAUCGGCCACAUUGGGACUGAGACACGGCCCAGACUCC
rnacentral:rRNA from 1 species